AUUUAUGUAGUGUAUAUAAACACAUUACUUUUUCAUAGUAAAGAAAGAAAUAAUUCUCUUAAGUC
rnacentral:tRNA from 1 species